rnacentral:rRNA from 1 species
UGCUUGGGAAUAUGCCUUUAGGUGGGGGACAACAGUUGGAAACGACUGCUAAUACCGCAUAACGUCUACGGACCAAAGUGGGGGACCUUCGGGCCUCACGCCUAAAGAUUAGCCCAAGUGGGAUUAGCUAGUUGGUUGAGGUAAAGGCUCACCAAGGCAACGAUCCCUAGCUGGUUUGAGAGGAUGAUCAGCCACACUGGAACUGAGACACGGCCCAGACUCCUACGGGAGGCAGCAGUAGGGAAUCUUAGACAAUGGGGGCAACCCUGAUCUAGCCAUGCCGCGUGUGUGAUGAAGGCC